UACAGAGGGGGCAAGCGUUGUUCGGAAUUACUGGGCGUAAAGGGCGCGUAGGCGGCCUGCUAAGUCGAACGUGAAAUCCCUGGGCUCAACCCAGGAACUGCGUCCGAUACUGGUUGGCUUGAAUCCGGGAGAGGGAUGUGGAAUUCCAGGUGUAGCGGUGAAAUGCGUAGAUAUCUGGAGGAACACCGGUGGCGAAGGCGACAUCCUGGACCGGUAUUGACGUUGAGGCGCGAAAGCCAGGGGAGCAAACGGG
rnacentral:rRNA from 1 species